UACGUAGGUGACAAGCGUUGUCCGGAUUUACUGGGCGUAAAGAGCGCGCAGGCGGUCGUUCAAGUCGAGUGUGAAAGCCCCCGGCUCAACUGGGGAGGGUCAUUCGAUACUGAUCGACUCGAAGGCAGGAGAGGGAAGUGGAAUUCCCGGUGUAGAGGUGAAAUUCGUAGAUAUUCGCAAGAACACCAGUGGCGAAGGCGGCUCACUGGCCCGGAACUGACGCUGAGGUGCGAAAGCGUGGGGAGCAAACAGG
rnacentral:rRNA from 1 species